rnacentral:rRNA from 1 species
AAGUUGCAGGGUAUAGACCCGAAACCCGGUGAUCUAGCCAUGGGCAGGUUGAAGGUUGGGUAACACUAACUGGAGGACCGAACCGACUAAUGUUGAAAAAUUAGCGGAUGACUUGUGGCUGGGGGUGAAAGGCCAAUCAAACCGGGAGAUAGCUGGUUCUCCCCGAAAGCUAUUUAGGUAGCGCCUCGUGAAUUCAUCUUCGGGGGUAGAGCACUGUUUCGGCUAGGGGGGUCAUCCCGACUUACCAACCGAUGCAAACUACGAAUACCGAAGAAUGUUAUCACGGGAGACACACGGCGGGUGCUAACGUCCGUCGUGAAGAGGGAAACAACCCAGACCGCCAGCUAAGGUCCCA